rnacentral:misc_RNA from 1 species
GCAUCGCAUCGCCCCUCACCAUCAUCCUAUGGACAAGUGGUGUAGGGAGCGGAUAUUGGUCUCCCGUGCCCAUGGUGUGGUUGAUCUAAAUAGGAGUCCUCCUUCGGUGGAUGCACGGCUAGUGGUGGUUGUAUAAUCUCGUAUCGAGCCGUGUGUUGUGAGCCGCAAGCGAGUUUCUCUUCAAAGACCCCUUAGUGUCGUCUUGCGACGAUGCUUCGA